rnacentral:rRNA from 1 species
AGAGUUUGAUCAUGGCUCAGAUUGAACGCUGGCGGCAGGCCUAACACAUGCAAGUCGAACGGUAACAGGAAGCAGCUUGCUGCUUCGCUGACGAGUGGCGGACGGGUGAGUAAUGUCUGGGAAACUGCCUGAUGGAGGGGGAUAACUACUGGAAACGGUAGCUAAUACCGCAUAAUGUCGCAAGACCAAAGAGGGGGACCUUCGGGCCUCUUGCCAUCGGAUGUGCCCAGAUGGGAUUAGCUUGUUGGUGGGGUAACGGCUCACCAAGGCGACGAUCCCUAGCUGGUCUGAGAGGAUGACCAGCCACACUGGAACUGAGACACGGUCCAGACUCCUACGGGAGGCAGCAGUGGGGAAUAUUGCACAAUGGGCGCAAGCCUGAUGCAGCCAUGCCGCGUGUAUGAAGAAGGCCUUCGGGUUGUAAAGUACUUUCAGCGGGGAGGAAGGGAGUAAAGUUAAUACCUUUGCUCAUUGACGUUAUCCGCAGAAGAAGCACCGGCUAACUCCGUGCCAGCAGCCGCGGUAAUACGGAGGGUGCAAGCGUUAAUCGGAAUUACUGGGCGUAAAGCGCACGCAGGCGGUUUGUUAAGUCAGAUGUGAAAUCCCCGGGCUCAACCUGGGAACUGCAUCUGAUACUGGCAAGCUUGAGUCUCGUAGAGGGGGGUAGAAUUCCAGGUGUAGCGGUGAAAUGCGUAGAGAUCUGGAGGAAUACCGGUGGCGAAGGCGGCCCCCUGGACGAAAACUGACGCUCAGGUGCGAAAGCGUGGGGAGCAAACAGGAUUAGAUACCCUGGUAGUCCACGCCGUAAACGAUGUCGACUUGGAGGUUGUGCCCUUGAGGCGUGGCUUCCGGAGCUAACGCGUUAAGUCGACCGCCUGGGGAGUACGGCCGCAAGGUUAAAACUCAAAUGAAUUGACGGGGGCCCGCACAAGCGGUGGAGCAUGUGGUUUAAUUCGAUGCAACGCGAAGAACCUUACCUGGUCUUGACAUCCACGGAAGUUUUCAGAGAUGAGAAUGUGCCUUCGGGAACCGUGAGACAGGUGCUGCAUGGCUGUCGUCAGCUCGUGUUGUGAAAUGUUGGGUUAAGUCCCGCAACGAGCGCAACCCUUAUCCUUUGUUGCCAGCGGUCCGGCCGGGAACUCAAAGGAGACUGCCAGUGAUAAACUGGAGGAAGGUGGGGAUGACGUCAAGUCAUCAUGGCCCUUACGACCAGGGCUACACACGUGCUACAAUGGCGCAUACAAAGAGAAGCGACCUCGCGAGAGCAAGCGGACCUCAUAAAGUGCGUCGUAGUCCGGAUUGGAGUCUGCAACUCGACUCCAUGAAGUCGGAAUCGCUAGUAAUCGUGGAUCAGAAUGCCACGGUGAAUACGUUCCCGGGCCUUGUACACACCGCCCGUCACACCAUGGGAGUGGGUUGCAAAAGAAGUAGGUAGCUUAACCUUUGGGAGGGCGCUUACCACUUUGUGAUUCAUGACUGGGGUGAAGUCGUAACAAGGUAACCGUAGGGGAACCUGCGGUUG